UCAGAAGGUAAAGAACCUGCCUGCAAUGCAGGAGACCCGGGUUUGAUUCCUGG
rnacentral:tRNA from 1 species